AGGGCUCUCGGCGUACACCCAUGUGGAGCUUCCAUAUUACUCCAAGUUUAUUCUUAUUGCUGCGUACCUUGCCUCUUACAACCCCGCGAGAACGGACAGGAGGUUCUUCCUAAAGCAUCAUGGAAAAAUCAAGAAAACUAACUUUCUAAAGAAACAUGAGAAGACAAGCAAUCAUCUUCUUGGACCAAAGCCAUUUCCAUUGGACAGAUUAUUAGCAAUAUUAUAUAGUAUAGUGGACAGCAGAGUGGCUCCAACUGCAAACAUCUUCUCCCAGGUAUUUGUAAGUGUCUGCUUCACUUCAAACACUGCAUUGGAUAAAGACAAUCUAAGAGGACCCGACUGUGUCUGUAGCUUCCUUCUCUUCUGUGGAGACGUUUGUAAUUAUUCUGAGAACAGAACAGCACUGAAGAACAUAGCA
rnacentral:lncRNA from 1 species